rnacentral:rRNA from 1 species
CCUACGGGAGGCAGCAGUGAGGAAUAUUGGUCAAUGGCCGGAAGGCUGAACCAGCCAUGCCGCGUGAAGGUCAGUGCCCUAUGGGCUUUAAACUUCUUUUGUGCGGGAGCAAUAAUGGUCACGUGUGGCCAGACGAGAGUACCGUACGAAUAAGCAUCGGCUAACUCCGUGCCAGCAGCCGCGGUAAUACGGGGGAUGCAAGCGUUAUCCGGAUUUAUUGGGUUUAAAGGGUGCGUAGGCUGUGAGUUAAGUCAGCGGUGAAAUGCCCCCGCUCAACGGGGUGAAGUGCCAUUGAUACUGCCUAGCUGUAAUGCGGAUGCCGUGGGAGGAAUGUGUGGUGUAGCGGUGAAAUGCAUAGAUAUCACACAGAACACCGAUUGCGAAGGCAUCUCACGAAUCCGCGAUUGACGCUGAUGCACGAAAGCGUGGGUAUCAAACAGGAUUAGAUACCCCUGUAGUC